rnacentral:misc_RNA from 1 species
GAUGAAGAACGUAGCGACAUGCGAUAAGUAAUGUGAAUUGCAGAAUUCAGUGAAUCAUCGAAUCUUUGAACGCACAUUGCGCCCGCCAGUAUUCUGGCGGGCAUGCCUGUUCGAGCGUCAUUUCAACCAUCAAGCCCCAGGCUUGUGUUGGGGACCUGCGGCUGCCGCAGGCCCUGAAAACCAGUGGCGGGCUCGCUGUCACACCGGGCGUAGUAGAUUUUAUCUCGCUCAGGGCGUGCUGCGGGUCCCGGCCGUUAAAAGCCUUUUUUUACCCAAGGUUGACCUCGGAUCAGGUAGGAAGACCCGCUGAACUUAAGCAUAUCAAUAAGCGGAGGA